rnacentral:rRNA from 1 species
GACGAACGCUGGCGGCGUGCUUAACACAUGCAAGUCGAGCGGUAAGGCCCUUUGGGGGUACACGAGCGGCGAACGGGUGAGUAACACGUGAGUAAUCUGCCUUUGGCUUGGGAAUAACUUCGGGAAAUCGGGGCUAAUGCCUGAUGUUUACUGUCUGCUGCAUGGUGGGGUGGUGGAAAGUAUUUUUUGGCCAGGGAUGAGCUCGCGGUCUAUCAGCUUGUUGGUGGGGUAAUGGCUACCAAGGCUUUGACGGGUAGCCGGCCUGAGAGGGGUGUUCGGCCACACUGGGACUGAGACACGGCCCAGACUCCUACGGGAGGCAGCAGUGGGGAAUAUUGCGCAAUGGGCGUAAGCCUGACGCAGCGACGCC